rnacentral:rRNA from 1 species
UCAAGCUGAAAAGAGCGCAAGGGGAAUGCCUUGGCAUCAGGAGCCGACGAAGGACGUGACAAGCUGCGAUAAGCCACGGGGAGGAGCAAAUAUCCGUUAUAUCCGUGGAUUUCCGAAUGGGGGAACCCGCUCAAGCAAUACUUGAGCAUCGUGCGUUGAAUCAAAUAGGCGUACGAAGGGAACGGCCUGAACUGAAACAUCUAAGUAGGGCCAGGAAAAGACAUCAACCGAGAUUCCGCUAGUAGUGGCGAGCGAACGCGGAGGAGGCCAAACCGAGGGACGCAAGUUCUUCGGGGUUGCGGACAGACAUCAAGACCAGAGGUAAUUAAGAGAACGGCGUGGGAAAGCCGGCCAUAGAAGGUGAGAGCCCUGUAUCUGAAAAUGAAGACUGGCAGUCUGGAUCCAGAGUACCGCGGGACACGUGAAACCCCGUGGGAAACCGGGUGGACCACCAUCCAAGCCUAAAUACUACCUGAUGACCGAUAGAGGAGCAGUACCGUGAGGGAAAGGUGAAAAGGACCCCGGGAGGGGAGUGAAAGAGAACCUGAAACCUUGUGCUUACAAGCAGUCAAAGCACGUUAAAGUGUGAUGACGUACUUUUUGUAGAACGGUCCGGCGAGUUAUAGUAACGAGCAAGCUUAAGGUAUUCAGUACCGGAGGCGAAGCGAAAGCGAGUCUGAAUAGGGCGCAUGAAGUUCGUUGCCAUAGACCCGAAACCGGGUGACCUACGCAUGAGCAGGUUGAAGUGGGGGUGAAACCCCAUGGAGGACCGAACCAACCCCCGUUGCAAUGGUGGUGGAUGACUUGUGCGUAGCGGUGAAAUUCCAAUCGAACUCGGAGAUAGCUGGUUCUCCCCGAAAUAGCUUUAGGGCUAGCGUUAGUUUAGAUUACCGGAGGUAAAGCACUGAAUGGUUUAGGGGCUGAUAAAGUUACCGACGCCUAUCAAACUCUGAAUGCCGGAUAAUUGAUGACUAGCAGUCAGACAGUGUGAGAUAAGUUUCAUUGUCAAAAGGGAAACAGCCCAGACCUACAGCUAAGGUCCCAAAUGUAUGCUAAGUGGAAAACGAUGUGGAAUUGCGAAAACAACCAGGAUGUUGGCUUAGAAGCAGCCACACAUUAAAAGAGUGCGUAAUAGCUCACUGGUCGAGUGACUCUGCGCGGAAAAUGUAACGGGGCUAAGCAUACAACCGAAGCUUAGGAUUGUCUAAAGACAGUGGUAGGGGAGCGUUCUGUAUGGGGUGAAGUCGCAGCGAGAGCAGCGGUGGACUGUACAGAAGUGAGAAUGCCGGAAUGAGUAGCGAGAAUUAUGUGGGAAUCAUAAUGGCCGAAAAUCUAAGGUUUCUUGGGGAAGGUUCGUCCGCCCAAGGUAAGUCGGGAGCUAAGCUCAGGCCGAGAGGCGUAGGCGAUGCACAUACGGUAGAAAUUCCGUAACCACCGAACUUUAAGCAUGAGGGACACUUUGAGAUAGCGGAACCCGGGCGUUGGUUGACCCGGGCGAAAGGGAGCGAAAUUAGAGUAGCGAAGUCCGCGAUGUUCGGAGGCGAGAAAAGCUCUGAGGUAUGCUAAGGUGCCCGUACCGCAAACCGACACAGGUAGAUGAGGAGAGAAUCCUAAGGCCAACGGGAGAAGGGUUGUUAAGGAACUCGGCAAAUUGACCCCGUAACUUCGGAAGAAGGGGAGCCCCCUACGGGGGGUCGCAGAGAAAUGGCCCAAGCAACUGUUUACCAAAAACACAGGUCUAUGCUAAAUCGAAAGAUGACGUAUAUGGGCUGACGCCUGCCCGGUGCCGGAAGGUUAAGAGGAGAUGUCAGGCAACGAAGCAUUGAAUUUAAGCCCCGGUAAACGGCGGCCGUAACUAUAACGGUCCUAAGGUAGCGAAAUUCCUUGUCAGGUAAGUUCUGACCCGC